UAUGCCUUUUUCUAAAGUUGAGGCGGCAUAAUGAAAGAAAUAUCUGAGAUAUUCUAGUUAAUAUAUAUAUAUAUAUGUAAGUAAUGAUUAUUAUUAUUAUUUUAUAUUAUAUUAUAUUAUAUAUAUAUAUAUAUGACAAAGAAAGAAAGAAAAGAAACAGAGAGCAAAACAAAACAGAGAAGGGAGAAAGAAAGAAACAGAGAGCAAAACGAAACAGAGAAGGAAGGAAGGAAAGAAAGAAAGAAAAGAAAAGAAAAAGGGAAAUUUAGGGUUUUAAGGUUCAAAGUAAUUUGGUAAGUCAAUUUAAUCCCCUUUUCUCUUAAUUUUGAUAUUUUUUUUGAAAUCCUAGAAUAAAAUACUACUUGAUUUAAGUUGAAAUUUUGAAAGUUAGUAGAUUAUUAAGCAUGGUUCAUGUUGAAUAAAUUGUUAAAUUAGGGAUGUAUUUGAUAGAAAUUUUGAUUGGAAUUGAAUA
rnacentral:lncRNA from 1 species